GAGCUUUCUUUAGUGCCUCAGGAUUGUUCAGAAGAAGUGAUAAUGCCCAUUCCAUUGUGCUAGCUGUAGUAUCAGUCCCUGCUGUUAACAUGACUAUUCCCAUGCCCUUUACCACUUCAUCUGUGUAAUAAUCAGGCUCUGAAUCUUGGAGGGAUAACAGAACAUCAAUCAUGGUAUUGUUCUUUUGCUCCAAAUAAGAUCCCUUUCGUCGGUUCUUGUGCUCUUCAAUCAAUUCUUGCAUGAAUUUAUCCCUCUUCUCCUGCAGUAACUUCACCUUAUCCUCAAG
rnacentral:misc_RNA from 1 species